AUUGAACGCUGGCGGCAUGCCUUACACAUGCAAGUCGAACGGUAACAGGUCUUCGGAUGCUGACGAGUGGCGAACGGGUGAGUAAUACAUCGGAACGUGCCUAGUAGUGGGGGAUAACUACUCGAAAGAGUGGCUAAUACAGCAUGAGAUCUACGGAUGAAAGCAGGGUAUCGCAAAACCUCGUGCUACUAGAGCGGCCGAUGGCAGAUUAGGUAGUUGGUGGGAGAAAAGCUUACCAAGCCUACGAUCUGUAGCUGGUCUGAGAGGACGAUCAGCCACACUGGGACUGAGACACGGCCCAGACUCCUACGGGAGGCAGCAGUGGGGAAUUUUGGACAAUGGACGAAAGCCUGAUCCAGCAAUGCCGCGUGCAGGAUGAAGGCCUUCGGGUUGUAAACUGCUUUUGUACGGAACGAAAAGCCCCGGGUUAAUACCCUGGGGUCAUGACGGUACCGUAAGAAUAAGCACCGGCUAACUACGUGCCAGCAGCCGCCGUAA
rnacentral:rRNA from 1 species